rnacentral:rRNA from 1 species
GAUUAAGUUAUUAAGGGCGCACGGUGGAUGCCUUGGCACUAGAAGCCGAUGAAGGACGUUACUAACGACGAUAUGCUUUGGGGAGCUGUAAGUAAGCUUUGAUCCAGAGAUUUCCGAAUGGGGAAACCCAGCAUGAGUUAUGUCAUGUUAUCGAUAUGUGAAUACAUAGCAUAUCAGAAGGCACACCCGGAGAACUGAAACAUCUUAGUACCCGGAGGAAGAGAAAGAAAAUUCGAUUCCCUUAGUAGCGGCGAGCGAAACGGGAAGAGCCCAAACCAACAAGCUUGCUUGUUGGGGUUGUAGGACACUCUAUACGGAGUUACAAAGGACGACAUUAGACGAAUCAUCUGGAAAGAUGAAUCAAAGAAGGUAAUAAUCCUGUAGUCGAAAAUGUUGUCUCUCUUGAGUGGAUCCUGAGUACGACGGAGCACGUGAAAUUCCGUCGGAAUCUGGGAGGACCAUCUCCUAAGGCUAAAUACUCUCUAGUGACCGAUAGUGAACCAGUACCGUGAGGGAAAGGUGAAAAGCACCCCGGAAGGGGAGUGAAAUAGAACCUGAAACCGUGUGCUUACAAGUAGUCAGAGCCCGUUAAUGGGUGAUGGCGUGCCUUUUGUAGAAUGAACCGGCGAGUUACGAUUUGAUGCAAGGUUAAGCAGUAAAUGUGGAGCCGUAGCGAAAGCGAGUCUGAAUAGGGCGUUUAGUAUUUGGUCGUAGACCCGAAACCAGGUGAUCUACCCUUGGUCAGGUUGAAGUUCAGGUAACACUGAAUGGAGGACCGAACCGACUUACGUUGAAAAGUGAGCGGAUGAACUGAGGGUAGCGGAGAAAUUCCAAUCGAACCUGGAGAUAGCUGGUUCUCUCCGAAAUAGCUUUAGGGCUAGCCUCAAGUGAUGAUUAUUGGAGGUAGAGCACUGUUUGGACGAGGGGCCCCUCUCGGGUUACCGAAUUCAGACAAACUCCGAAUGCCAAUUAAUUUAACUUGGGAGUCAGAACAUGGGUGAUAAGGUCCGUGUUCGAAAGGGAAACAGCCCAGACCACCAGCUAAGGUCCCAAAAUAUAUGUUAAGUGGAAAAGGAUGUGGCGUUGCCCAGACAACUAGGAUGUUGGCUUAGAAGCAGCCAUCAUUUAAAGAGUGCGUAAUAGCUCACUAGUCGAGUGACACUGCGCCGAAAAUGUACCGGGGCUAAACAUAUUACCGAAGCUGUGGAUUGUCCUUUGGACAAUGGUAGGAGAGCGUUCUAAGGGCGUUGAAGCAUGAUCGUAAGGACAUGUGGAGCGCUUAGAAGUGAGAAUGCCGGUGUGAGUAGCGAAAGACGGGUGAGAAUCCCGUCCACCGAUUGACUAAGGUUUCCAGAGGAAGGCUCGUCCGCUCUGGGUUAGUCGGGUCCUAAGCUGAGGCCGACAGGCGUAGGCGAUGGAUAACAGGUUGAUAUUCCUGUACCACCUAUAAUCGUUUUAAUCGAUGGGGGGACGCAGUAGGAUAGGCGAAGCGUGCGAUUGGAUUGCACGUCUAAGCAGUAAGGCUGAGUAUUAGGCAAAUCCGGUACUCGUUAAGGCUGAGCUGUGAUGGGGAGAAGACAUUGUGUCUUCGAGUCGUUGAUUUCACACUGCCGAGAAAAGCCUCUAGAUAGAAAAUAGGUGCCCGUACCGCAAACCGACACAGGUAGUCAAGAUGAGAAUUCUAAGGUGAGCGAGCGAACUCUCGUUAAGGAACUCGGCAAAAUGACCCCGUAACUUCGGGAGAAGGGGUGCUCUUUAGGGUUAACGCCCAGAAGAGCCGCAGUGAAUAGGCCCAAGCGACUGUUUAUCAAAAACACAGGUCUCUGCUAAACCGUAAGGUGAUGUAUAGGGGCUGACGCCUGCCCGGUGCUGGAAGGUUAAGAGGAGUGGUUAGCUUCUGCGAAGCUACGAAUCGAAGCCCCAGUAAACGGCGGCCGUAACUAUAACGGUCCUAAGGUAGCGAAAUUCCUUGUCGGGUAAGUUCCGACCCGCACGAAAGGCGUAACGAUUUGGGCACUGUCUCAACGAGAGACUCGGUGAAAUCAUAGUACCUGUGAAGAUGCAGGUUACCCGCGACAGGACGGAAAGACCCCGUGGAGCUUUACUGUAGCCUGAUAUUGAAAUUCGGCACAGCUUGUACAGGAUAGGUAGGAGCCUUUGAAACGUGAGCGCUAGCUUACGUGGAGGCGCUGGUGGGAUACUACCCUAGCUGUGUUGGCUUUCUAACCCGCACCACUUAUCGUGGUGGGAGACAGUGUCAGGCGGGCAGUUUGACUGGGGCGGUCGCCUCCUAAAAGGUAACGGAGGCGCUCAAAGGUUCCCUCAGAAUGGUUGGAAAUCAUUCAUAGAGUGUAAAGGCAUAAGGGAGCUUGACUGCGAGACCUACAAGUCGAGCAGGGUCGAAAGACGGACUUAGUGAUCCGGUGGUUCCGCAUGGAAGGGCCAUCGCUCAACGGAUAAAAGCUACCCCGGGGAUAACAGGCUUAUCUCCCCCAAGAGUUCACAUCGACGGGGAGGUUUGGCACCUCGAUGUCGGCUCAUCGCAUCCUGGGGCUGUAGUCGGUCCCAAGGGUUGGGCUGUUCGCCCAUUAAAGCGGUACGCGAGCUGGGUUCAGAACGUCGUGAGACAGUUCGGUCCCUAUCCGUCGUGGGCGUAGGAAAUUUGAGAGGAGCUGUCCUUAGUACGAGAGGACCGGGAUGGACAUACCUCUGGUGUACCAGUUGUCGUGCCAACGGCAUAGCUGGGUAGCUAUGUGUGGACGGGAUAAGUGCUGAAAGCAUCUAAGCAUGAAGCCCCC